rnacentral:rRNA from 1 species
CAGCAGCCGCGGUAAUACGUAGGUCCCGAGCGUUGUCCGGAUUUAUUGGGCGUAAAGGGAGCGCAGGCGGUUUAGUAAGUCUGAAGUUAAAGGCAUUGGCUCAACCAAUGUAUGCUUUGGAAACUGUUAGACUUGAGUGCAGAAGGGGAGAGUGGAAUUCCAUGUGUAGCGGUGAAAUGCGUGGAUAUAUGGAGGAACACCGGUGGCGAAGGCGGCCAUCUGGGACAACACUGACGCUGAGGCACGAAAGCGUGGGGAGCAAACAGGAUUAGAUACCCCCGUAGUCCCUGUCUCUUAUCAA